UUGUAAUUCCAGUUCUCAUCUGAUCACCAAAGUUAAGCAACGUCAAGCCUGGUUAGUACCUAGAUGAGUAACCUCUGGGGAAUAAUAUCAGGUGUUGUAA